UACGAAAGGGGCUAGCGUUGUUCGGAAUUACUGGGCGUAAAGCGCACGUAGGCGGCCUUGCAAGUUGGGGGUGAAAUCCCAGGGCUCAACCCUGGAACUGCCUCCAAAACUGCUGAGCUUGAGGAUGUGAGAGGUGAGUGGAAUUCCGAGUGUAGAGGUGAAAUUCGUAGAUAUUCGGAAGAACACCAGUGGCGAAGGCGACUCACUGGCACAUUUCUGACGCUGAGGUGCGAAAGCGUGGGGAGCAAACAGG
rnacentral:rRNA from 1 species